rnacentral:rRNA from 1 species
GGAUGAACGCUGGCGGCGUGCUUAACACAUGCAAGUCGAACGAUGAACCUCACUUGUGGGGGGAUUAGUGGCGAACGGGUGAGUAACACGUGAGUAACCUGCCCUUAACUCUGGGAUAAGCCUGGGAAACUGGGUCUAAUACCGGAUAUGACUCCUCAUCGCAUGGUGGGGGGUGGAAAGCUUUUUGUGGUUUUGGAUGGACUCGCGGCCUAUCAGCUUGUUGGUGAGGUAAUGGCUUACCAAGGCGACGACGGGUAGCCGGCCUGAGAGGGUGACCGGCCACACUGGGACUGAGACACGGCCCAGACUCCUACGGGAGGCAGCAGUGGGGAAUAUUGCACAAUGGGCGCAAGCCUGAUGCAGCGACGCCGCGUGAGGGAUGACGGCCUUCGGGUUGUAAACCUCUUUCAGUAGGGAAGAAGCGAAAGUGACGGUACCUGCAGAAGAAGCGCCGGCUAACUACGUGCCAGCAGCCGCGGUAAUACGUAGGGCGCAAGCGUUAUCCGGAAUUAUUGGGCGUAAAGAGCUCGUAGGCGGUUUGUCGCGUCUGCCGUGAAAGUCCGGGGCUCAACUCCGGAUCUGCGGUGGGUACGGGCAGACUAGAGUGAUGUAGGGGAGACUGGAAUUCCUGGUGUAGCGGUGAAAUGCGCAGAUAUCAGAGGAACACCGAUGGCGAAGGCAGGUCUCUGGGCAUUAACUGACGCUGAGGAGCGAAAGCAUGGGGAGCGAACAGGAUUAGAUACCCUGGUAGUCCAUGCCGUAAACGUUGGGCACUAGGUGUGGGGGACAUUCCACGUUUUCCGCGCCGUAGCUAACGCAUUAAGUGCCCCGCCUGGGGAGUACGGCCGCAAGGCUAAAACUCAAAGGAAUUGACGGGGGCCCGCACAAGCGGCGGAGCAUGCGGAUUAAUUCGAUGCAACGCGAAGAACCUUACCAAGGCUUGACAUGAACCGGUAAUACCUGGAGACAGGUGCCCCGCUUGCGGUCGGUUUACAGGUGGUGCAUGGUUGUCGUCAGCUCGUGUCGUGAGAUGUUGGGUUAAGUCCCGCAACGAGCGCAACCCUCGUUCUAUGUUGCCAGCACGUGAUGGUGGGGACUCAUAGGAGACUGCCGGGGUCAACUCGGAGGAAGGUGGGGACGACGUCAAAUCAUCAUGCCCCUUAUGUCUUGGGCUUCACGCAUGCUACAAUGGCCGGUACAAAGGGUUGCGAUACUGUGAGGUGGAGCUAAUCCCAAAAAGCCGGUCUCAGUUCGGAUUGGGGUCUGCAACUCGACCCCAUGAAGUCGGAGUCGCUAGUAAUCGCAGAUCAGCAACGCUGCGGUGAAUACGUUCCCGGGCCUUG